AAAAAACAAGGCCUAUUCUCUGGUGAAAGUGAAAAUUAUUCAACAAAGUAGGAACAAAUGGUGAGAGAAUUGAGAGAGGUGAAAAUUGUGGAUGCAAAUAUUGGUUUCUAUGAUGGUGUUUCCAAGGAGAAAAGUUCUGCAGCAGAUGAAGAGCCUUAUGGAGCUGCAUGUGGUGCAGGAUGUGGUGCUGGAUGUGGUGCCUAGAGAUCUUGUUUUGCUGCUAUCAACUUCAUGCAUAGAUAUCUAGAAGAGUGAACUUCAGUGGCUAUUGUAGUCUUAGUUUCUUAUAUUUCACAUCGCAGCUUGUUGCUAAGGACUAUGAUUAUUAGUAUGGUAAGUUUGCUGACUGUUUUACUUGCAAAUGUAAGCUGAGAAGUUCUGCAAUGGAUUUUGAAUAUGAACUUUGAUCUCA